UUAUUUUCAUGUUAAAUCACCAUUUAUUUUUCACACCCAGGGUGGGAAAUUAGCACCCGCCACAAGCCAAUGGCGGGUACUUUUUCAAAGUGGCGGGUGACUUUGCCUUGUAUACAAGCCACAGUGGCGGGUGGAGUGGUUU